UUUGAAGCGUGGACGCCAGUCUGCGUGGAGCCGACCUUGAAAUACCACCCUUUAAUGUUUGAUGUUCUAACGUGGACCCGUUACCCGGGUUGCGGACAGUGUCUGGUGGGUAGUUUGACUGGGGCGGUCUCCUCCUAAAGAGUAACGGAGGAGCACGAAGGUUGGCUAAUCCUGGUCGGACAUCAGGAGGUUAGUGCAAUGGCAUAAGCCAGCUUGACUGCGAGCGUGACGGCGCGAGCAGGUGCGAAAGCAGGUCAUAGUGAUCCGGUGGUUCUGAAUGGAAGGGCCAUCGCUCAACGGAUAAAAGGUACUCCGGGGAUAACAGGCUGAUACCGCCCAAGAGUUCAUAUCGACGGCGGUGUUUGGCACCUCGAUGUCGGCUCAUCACAUCCUGGGGCUGAAGUAGGUCCCAAGGGUAUGGCUGUUCGCCAUUUAAAGUGGUACGCGAGCUGGGUUUAGAACGUCGUGAGACAGUUCGGUCCCUAUCUGCCGUGGGCGCUGGAGAACUGAGGGGGGCUGCUCCUAGUACGAGAGGACCGGAGUGGACGCAUCACUGGUGUUCGGGUUGUCAUGCCAAUGGCACUGCCCGGUAGCUAAAUGCGGAAGAGAUAAGUGCUGAAAGCAUCUAAGCACGAAACUUGCCCCGA
rnacentral:rRNA from 1 species